rnacentral:sRNA from 1 species
GUCUGUCGAUGAUCUCACUCCUCCUCCCAGGGAUCGUCGGCCCGAACGGCGGCACUCCUCCUCCCAAGCCGCCCGUUCACUUUUAGAGAAAGCCUGCCGCACCUCCUCCCGCGGCAGGCUUUUUCG